rnacentral:rRNA from 1 species
AGAGUUUGAUCCUGGCUCAGAACGAACGCUGGCGGCAUGCCUAACACAUGCAAGUCGAACGAAGUCCUUCGGGGCUUAGUGGCGCACGGGUGCGUAACGCGUGGGAAUCUGCCCUUGGGUUCGGAAUAACAGUUAGAAAUGAUUGCUAAUACCGGAUGAUGUCUUCGGACCAAAGAUUUAUCGCCCAAGGAUGAGCCCGCGUAGGAUUAGGUAGUUGGUGGGGUAAAGGCCUGCCAAGCCGACGAUCCUUAGCUGGUCUGAGAGGAUGAUCAGCCACACUGGGACUGAGACACGGCCCAGACUCCUACGGGAGGCAGCAGUGGGGAAUAUUGGACAAUGGGGGCAACCCUGAUCCAGCAAUGCCGCGUGAGUGAUGAAGGCCUUAGGGUCGUAAAGCUCUUUUACCAGGGAUGAUAAUGACAGUACUGAGAAUAG